rnacentral:rRNA from 1 species
AUUGAACGCUGGCGGCAUGCCUAACACAUGCAAGUCGAACGGCAGCACAGCAGUAGCAAUACUGUGGAUGGCGAGUGGCGGACGGGUGAGGAAUACGUCGGAAUCUGCCCAGUCGUGGGGGAUAACUAGCCGAAAGGUUAGCUAAUACCGCAUACGACCGAGAGGUGAAAGCGGGGACCGCAAGGCCUCGCGCGAUUGGAUGAGCCGACGUCGGAUUAGCUAGUUGGCGGGUAAAGGCCCACCAAGGCGACGAUCCGUAGCUGGUCUGAGAGGAUGAUCAGCCACACUGGAACUGAGACACGGUCCAGACUCCUACGGGAGGCAGCAGUGGGGAAUAUUGGACAAUGGGCGCAAGCCUGAUCCAGCAAUGCCGCGUGUGUGAAGAAGGCCUCGG